GACGAACGCUGGCGGCGUGCUUAACACAUGCAAGUCGAACGGAAAGGCCUCUUUCGGGGGGUACUCGAGUGGCGAACGGGUGAGUAACACGUGAGUAACCUGCCCUUGACUUUGGGAUAACUUCAGGAAACUGGGGCUAAUACCGGAUAGGAGCUCCUGCUGCAUGGUGGGGGUUGGAAAGUUUCGGCGGUUGGGGAUGGACUCGCGGCUUAUCAGCUUGUUGGUGGGGUAGUGGCUUACCAAGGCUUUGACGGGUAGCCGGCCUGGGAGGGUGACCGGCCACAUUGGGACUGAGAUACGGCCCAGACUCCUACGGGAGGCAGCAGUGGGGAAGAUUGCACAAUGGGUGGAAGCCUGAUGCAGCAACGCCGUGUGCGGGAUGACGGCCUUCGGGUUGUAAACCGCUUUCGCUCAUGACGAAGCUUUGUGUGACGGUAGUGGGUAAAGAAGCACCGGCUAACUACGUG
rnacentral:rRNA from 1 species